CAAGGAUUCCCUAGUAACUGCGAGUGAACCGGGAAAAGCUCAAAUUUAAAAUCUGGCAGUUUAUUGUCCGAGUUGUAAUCUGGAGAAGUGUUUUCCGCGUUGGACUGUAUACAAGUUUCCUGGAAUGGAACGUCAUAGAGGGUGAGAAUCCCGUCUUUGCUACAGACUCCCAAUGCUUUGUGAUACGCUCUCAACGAGUCGAGUUGUUUGGGAAUGCAGCUCAAAAUGGGUGGUAAAUUCCAUCUAAAGCUAAAUAUUGGCGAGAGACCGAUAGCGAACAAGUACCGUGAGGGAAAGAUGAAAAGAACUUUGGAAAGAGAGUUAAACAGUACGUGAAAUUGCUUAAAGGGAAACGCUUGAAGUCAGUCGCGUUGUCUGGGUUCAGCCUUGCUUAUGUCUGGUGUAUUUCCUAGUUAACGGGUCAACAUCAGUUUCGAUGCUGGAGAAAGGUGUAAGAAAUGUGGCAUCAUUGGUGUGUUAUAGUCUUCAUUGUAUACAGCGGUUGGGACUGAGGAACUCAGCACCGUGCUUAGGAUGUUGGCAUAAUGGCUUUAAUCGACCGGUCUUGA
rnacentral:rRNA from 1 species